rnacentral:rRNA from 1 species
UACGUAGGUGGCAAGCGUUGUCCGGAUUUACUGGGCGUAAAGAGCGCGCAGGCGGUCGUUCAAGUCGCGUGUGAAAGCCCCCGGCUCAACUGGGGAGGGUCACGCGAUACUGAUCGACUCGAAGGCAGGAGAGGGUGGUGGAAUUCCCGGUGUAGUGGUGAAAUGCGUAGAGAUGUGGAGGAACACCAGUGGCGAAGGCGACUCUUUGGCCUGUAACUGACGCUGAGGCGCGAAAGCGUGGGGAGCAAACAGG